AACGAACGCUGGCGGCAUGCCUAACACAUGCAAGUCGAACGAGACCUUCGGGUCUUGUCGCCCCCGGGUGCGUCACGCGUGGGAACCUUCCCUUAUGUUCGGAAUACCUCCCCGACUGGGGUGCCAAUACGGGAUAGUGUCUUCGGACCAAAGAUUUAUCGCGUUUGGUUGGGCCCGCGUUGAAUUCGCUAGUUGGUAGGGUAAAAGCCUACUACGGCGACAAUCCAUAACUGGGCUGAGAGGAUGGUUAGCCACACUUGGACUGAGACACGGCCCAGAAUCCUACGGGAGGGAGCAGUGGGGAAUAGUGGAAAAUGGGCGAAAGCCUGAUCCAACAAUGCCGCGUGAGUGAUGAAGGCCUUAGGGUUGUAAAGCGCUUUUAACCGGGAUGAUAAUGACAGUACCGGGAGAAUAAGCUCCGGCUAACUCCGUG
rnacentral:rRNA from 1 species